GUCUGACAAAUUCUAAUGUUUCAUACAAAAUUCUUUUCUGAGCUGUCUAUUUUGCAUAGAUCUGAUGGGAAUUAAAUAGCUCUUUCUCCUCAACUGAAAAAUCGAUAUUCAGAACUCAUCUGAUAUCAAAUUUUGCUCUCAGUUUAAUCCAUGAUUAAUUGAAACAUGUCUCAUAUUUCUUGCUUUUUAUUGUCCUUUUAAAAAUGCCAUACAGAAAUCAUCAUAAAUCUAUUAUUUCAUCAUAGAAUUAAAAUAUGUAUUGAAAUGGCAUCACUUUAACAAAAAUGCAGGAUUUUUGUCAAGUUAAGAUUAAAAAUGUUUCAUUAUUCAAUUUACUCAGCCAUACUUUCUACAGGAAUUCAAUACAUCUAGCUUUCCAGUUCCUCUGUGGAAUACUUCAUCAUCUGGCAUAUGACCUCAGACCAUCUCCCAGCAUCUGUGUCUGCAGCCAUUGUACCUCAGCCUCUUGGGGCCAAGCAGGGCCCAUAUGUGUGCUUUGUGUGAAACAGCUCCCUGAAGCAGUUUUUGAAGCAGCAUGGGAGUGGAGGAGUCAUGAAGGCUGGUUCUACCCCAUGGUAUCACAGUGGUCAGGGUUUGGGGAGGGACAGUGGAAUACUUCUAGAAAAUCUUUUCAGGUAAGAAACACAAGAAAGGUGGUGCUCUUGUAAGAAAGUGCCCUGUAUAGAGAGCAGGAGCCCCAUAUUCACACCAAGGUGUAGCUCAUUGGUCCAAUUUUCUAAAAGUCACUCACUCUGCUGGAAGAUCUGUGAUUACAUGUCAGCUCCAAAUAGAGAGCCCCAAGUUCUCCCUGGAA
rnacentral:lncRNA from 1 species